AGACACUGCAGGGGCAGUGAUGGAUGUGAAGGCUGGGGAGGCUGGGGGCCUGAGAGUCUCACCGGCUUUGCCUUCUCGUAGAUAGGCAGGCUCCAGGGAUGCUGCCGCUCUUUCACCAGCACUCUCUGCCCACCAGAGCCCUUCUUCCUUGGGCGAUCAGUCCUAAAGCCGCCAUUUGCACGUGAAUCUCUGAGCAACCCUGGACCUGUCUGGAGCCCUUUCGAUUAUCACAUUAGGGGGCUCGGCAUAUGGUGCCCUCCUCAGCAAGACAGAUCCAAAGCCUGCACUCUGAAACAAGAAGCAGGCGGGGUUGAGGAGAAGGGCCUGCAUUCAUUCAUUGCCAUGACAUUCCACGCCGGGCUGCUUUGGAGGUUGGCUCCAUGA
rnacentral:lncRNA from 1 species